rnacentral:pre_miRNA from 1 species
AUCCCGUGGGGAUCUUGUUAAAAUGCAGAUUCAAACACAGUAGGAAUGGCGAAGGGCCUAAUAUUCUGCAUUUCUAACAAGCUCCCAUGGGAUGCAGU